rnacentral:rRNA from 1 species
UACGUAGGGGGCAAGCGUUGUCCGGAUUUAUUGGGCGUAAAGAGCGUGUAGGCGGCUUUACAGGUCCGUUGUGAAAACUCGAGGCUCAACCUCGAGACGCCGGUGGAAACCUAAGGCUAGAGUCCGGAAGAGGAGAGUGGAAUUCCUGGUGUAGCGGUGAAAUGCGUAGAUAUCUGGAGGAACACCGAUGGCGAAGGCAGCUUGCUGGGACGGUACUGACGCUGAGACGCGAAAGCGUGGGGAGCAAACAGG